GAUGAACGCUGGCGGCGUGCCUAAUACAUGCAAGUCGAGCGAACGGACGAGAAGCUUGCUUCUCUGAUGUUAGCGGCGGACGGGUGAGUAACACGUGGAUAACCUACCUAUAAGCCUGGGAUAACUUCGGGAAACCGGAGCUAAUACCGGAUAAUAUUUUGAACCGCAUGGUUCAAAAGUGAAAGACGGUCUUGCUGUCACUUAUAGAUGGAUCCGCGCUGCAUUAGCUAGUUGGUAAGGUAACGGCUUACCAAGGCAACGAUGCAUAGCCGACCUGAGAGGGUGAUCGGCCACACCGGAACUGAGACACGGUCAAGACUCCUACGGGAGGCAGCAGUAGGGAAUCUUCCGCAAUGGGCGAAAGCCUGACGGAGCAACGCCGCGUGAGUGAUGAAGGUCUUCGGAUCGUAAAACUCUGUUAUUAGGGAAGAACAUAUGUGUAAGUAACUGUGCACAUCAUGACGGUACCUAAUCAGAAAGCCACGGCUAACUACGUG
rnacentral:rRNA from 1 species